GAUGAAGAACGUAGCGAAAUGCGAUAACUAAUGUGAAUUGCAGAAUUCAGUGAAUCAUCGAAUCUUUGAACGCACAUUGCGCCCGCGAGUAUUCUCGCGGGCAUGCCUGUCCGAGCGUCAUUUCAACCCUCAGGGCCCGCCUGCUUGCAGGCGCGGCGCUGGCGUUGGGGAUCGGCCCUAACCGGUCGUCCCCCAAAUACAGUGGCGGUCUCGCUGCAGCCUCCCCUGCGUAGUAGCAACACUCGCAUGCGGAGCGCGGCGCGGCCACGCCGUAAAACCCCCGACUUUCUGAACGUUGACCUCGGAUCAGGUAGGAAUACCCGCUGAACUUAAGCAUAUCAAUAAGCGGAGGA
rnacentral:misc_RNA from 1 species